rnacentral:rRNA from 1 species
CUAAGGAAGGCAGCAGGCGCGUAAAUUACCCAAUCCUGAUUCAGGGAGGUAGUGACAAGAAAUAACAACCUGGAUGACUUUUUCCUUACGGGAUUGCAAUGAGAACAAUUUAAAUGACUUAACGAGGAACAAUUGGAGGGCAAGUCUGGGGCCAGCAGCCGCGGUAAUUCCAGCUCCAAUAGCGUAUAUUAAAGUUGUUGCAGUUAAAAAGCUCGUAGUUGAACUUCUGUACGUGCCCUGUUCUGGCUCCGGUCAAGCGGUGACGCGUGCAUCCGCUUGCAAACUAGUCUCGUCCUUAACUGGUCGUUCAAGGGAGUAAGCCCUUUACUUUGAAAAAAUUAGAGUGUUUCAGGCAGGCAAUGGCUCGAAUACAUUAGCAUGGAAUAAUGAAAUAGAACUUUUGUCCAUUUGGUUGGUUUUUGGACUUAAGUAAUGAUUAAAAGGGACAGUUGGGGGCAUUAGUAUUUAAUUGUCAGAGGUGAAA